GCUGAUUUUGUAAAGAGAAAAAAAGACCAUAGGAGGAGCACGGGCUCGCCUCCUCUCCCUCUCGCCCAAGUCCUCGUCGCUGCCGCCGCCACCACCACCCACGCUGUGGCAAUCUCCGGCGAGCUCCGUCGCCGCACAACACACCCCAGAGCUCCCCACGGUCCGCGUCUCCCUCCCCUCCGGCCAGAUUCUGCGCUCCCGACCUCUACCGCCCGGUCGCAACGCCACCCUUGUGGCUGGGUUUGGGGCAGGGCUUCGCCGCCGCGUCUCUGGCGGCCCCGGGUUCGUCCCUCUUCCUACCUGGUCGGGAUCCACCACCCCUACACCUCACCUUCGACGCCAUGGGAGUUCCCCAUCCACCAUGGUUGUCGCCGUCAAGGGCUUCUUCACGAAGAUGUGAAGGACGCCAUGGAUCUGCAGCUCCUUUUCUCCUCCACCACGGACGCCGCCUCACCCUUCCAAGCCAACAGGCACCCUACAAACGGGUCGGCCCACAGCUCCUCCGCUCCUCUGCCAUCUUGAGAUGCACCUGGAUCUGGCGAUUUCAGGGCCUUCAUGGCUUUAGAAUCGGCCUCUCGUUCGGGAUCAGUUUGGAUCUAGGACAAGCCAACCAUGCUGCUGCGCCAAGCUCCUCUUGAUAUAGUUUACAUGAAUGCUAUCCGGGAGAAGGCAAAUAUCAGGAGCAAAUAAAAUCAAUCCCUGUACAAAUAAAAACACUCCCUGCAAUCUAUCAUUUUUUUGAGGAAUUAGCCACAUUAGAGUAGUUGAUACAUUGGAUGAGUAUUCAGAAGGUGCAGUCAAUUUGUCCUUUGGCAUCUAGCCCUCCUGUUGGUAUAAUAAUGCAAAUUGCCUUUUUUAAAAAAAAUGGUCCUUCAUUUCUUUUCUUUGAGUUAUCUGUGUAUCUUUUAAGCUUUUGCUAGGCGAGGAAAGGUGGACCAAGUAGUCUAGCAGAACCAAUUGCAUUUUUGGGGUAUUGGCUUCAGAUUGGAGUGGGAAGGUAUAGAUAUGUGUUCUUUCCACAAGAAGAACAAUGAAUACUACUACAAUCUUUUCUAGCAUGGUUUGUUCUCAGCCACAUGAGUUUUAUAAUCCUUCUAAAACAGUCACUUCCUUUCAUAUGAAUGCACUUUUAGCAGAUGUUAUUCUGACUGGUCUGCUAUAUUUGUUCAUGAAGACAUUCAUGUUUACUCCAUGUUCAAUUCAAGUCUGAAAGAUUCAUAUUUGGGUAGACAGGUUUCACUGAUUGAAAAUAUUUGAGAUGCUCUUUUUGAUGUAUGGCAAUAUGCUAUCUCAAAUAUGGUAGACGAGGAAUACGAGCUCUUUUGAAGAUAAAUAAACUAGAUAAAAAAGAAUUGAAAUAGCCAAGCAAGUUUCAUUGCAUGUUAAUUAUAUGGUCUGCUGUACUGAACCUUUUUCUGCAAUUUUCUUAUUUGUUCUGCUUGAAAAAGCUAACACUGAUCUUUUGCUACGUUUUGUGUUAAUGAGUAAAUGUUUUGUACAGAAAAUCAGUGCUAGAGAUUAGAAUUGUCUCAUAUAUAAUACUCCAUCUGUCUCAUUAUAUAAGACAUUUUUUCACGAGGUAGUACCAAAUAUGCCUUUAUGUGCUUUCUUCAACAAGUCAUAUGUGUGACUGACCUCCACCCACCUCCCCAUUCUCAACAAGCACCAGGACGUGACUUCGGUUCUGCCAAGUAGGUUUUAAUAAACAAAUCCUUCCUAAAUUAUGAGCUGUUUUCUUACUGAGCAAACAGAAUGCCCAACAUUCCAAUUUGUGAUGUUAAGGCUAACAAGAGAUGCAUAUAUCAUAUUUAACAUACUAUCUGCACUCUUCCUAAUUUAGUUUUUUUUGCUUUUCCAGAAAGAAUAAAUUGGUGUUUGAUUUGACUACAACCCUACGGUUUUUGCUCUGAAAGGCAUGCACUUUAAAAAAAGACAUGAUGUGCAUUUGCAUAGUUUGACAAAUUCCGAUCAAUGAACUGUAUUUUGUUUUCUGUUUUCAUUGUAACAUCAACCUUACGUGGUUCUUCUUAUCAAUGUUUGAACUGAAGUUAUACAAUAGAGGGCAUGUACUUGAUUGUUUUAGUGUCAAUAUAUUCAGAAGACAUGGAUCCAUCACGGAAGGAGUAGAUGAAGACCAUGGAAAGGAGGAGUUACUAGGAGCAGAAUACUAGUGAGUUAACUUCGGUUUUCAGAAUUGAAGCUUCACUCAGGUGAAGUGGUUCCUUUGGACAUUGAUAUCUGCUGCAUAAUAUAUGUAGAUAAAGGAAAAUUGAAUUAAGAACUCAAUCGGAGCAGAGACCAUGAGUUGUGGACCAUAUAAUGUUGUUUGCUUCACUUUCAGUUUCUAUUGGGAAAAUUUGCAGAACCGGAUAAUGUCUCAACACUGACUAGAAGAAAGGAAGCCACAUAUAGCUGGUUCGGCCAGCCAACUAAUCCAUGAAAUUUACCUUCUUUGUCUUUCCUUUUUAAUGCUCAUCACAUUUUUAUAUAUGUGCACCAUGGUUAAAGUUUGCAAAUAUUAUUGCGCAAAAGCAGUCUAUUCCUUGCACCUGUUUUGCAAGCUGGAUUAUUCAAAGAAUAUAUACAAAGACGGGAAAAGGCAGUCGUGUCACAUUAAUGUGGGGAGGGCAAUAUUGGGUAGAGAUUCUUGCAUUUGCACGUUAAGUUUGUGGCAAUUGUGAAUUGCUUUAUUUUCCUGCCAUUCGUAUUUCUUGUGUGAAUAACAUCAAGAUGGUUUUGAGCCUGGAAACUUCAAGCGUGUCAUAAGGCAGGAAACAUAUCUGUAGAGAAGUAUAGGUGAUGUGCUAGAAAACAUGGCCGUGCCACUGAUUUUUCAGCUGGUCGUGUGCUUCAUCUGUAUGAUGCUUUUGUUGAUUACCAGCUUAUGUAGGUUGCUUAGAAGCGAGGCCUUCCCAUAGUUGACGAAGAUAUGUGUAACCAGUGAAGAAUAUUAGGAUGGGAAUUUUACCUAUUCUGUGGACUAGCUACAGUUCUUGGUGCCUUAUAAAUGAUAAAGAGAGGUCUCUCUGACUAAAUAAUAAUUUCCAUUAGUUACUACUUUUCAGUUUUAGAUUCCACUGUAAUGUUGCUGAUGAUGUCAACACUGGUUUGACUUCUCAUAUAUACGAUCUCUAAUUAUUUCAGAAGAUAAUCAAUCUGUUCAUAUCAUACUACUUCCCAUUAUAACUUUCCCUGUGUAUACUUUGGUAGCAGUGUGCUUUAUUAUUAGGCCCUGUAAAGAUAUGGAGUAAAUUCUGCACCGCUGUGACCUUUACCUUCUUUCUAGAUAUACAAUUGUUUACCAAAUCGCGGCUUUGCAGGGAGGAGGUGUUGUCGCCAGCCUCACGUUGAUGUGCGGUACUUGCGCCUCUCUGCUUCAUGUGGACACAGGCACCAAACUAGAACAUUUCCAUGUUGUUAUUUGGUGUUUAGAAAGUGUUUAUCUGUAAGCGACAUUAAUACACUAUAGUAGUCCCACAACGUUUUGCAUAUGAAUAGUUGUAGAAGAAACAUGAUAACAGGUUUCUUUUGUUGCUAACGUGUAGAGUUACUGUACAAAUGCAUUUUCUGCUACAGAUUUACGGGUCAUUAUUUAGCUAUUUCGGUUCCUCCUUAUGAAUGGAUUUUUCUAUGUAUAUGGCGGAAGAUAAUAUAGACCUCUAUUUGUAAACAUCCA